rnacentral:rRNA from 1 species
UGGGGAAUAUUGGACAAUGGGCGAAAGCCUGAUCCAGCCAUGCCGCGUGCGUGAAGAAGGUCUUCGGAUUGUAAAGCACUUUAAGUUGGGAGGAAGGGCAGUAAGCGAAUACCUUGCUGUUUUGACGUUACCGACAGAAUAAGCACCGGCUAACUCUGUGCCAGCAGCCGCGGUAAUACAGAGGGUGCAAGCGUUAAUCGGAAUUACUGGGCGUAAAGCGCGCGUAGGUGGUUCGUUAAGUUGAAUGUGAAAGCCCCGGGCUCAACCUGGGAACUGCAUCCAAAACUGGCGAGCUAGAGUAGGGCAGAGGGUGGUGGAAUUGCCUUUGUAGCGGUGAAAUGCGUAGAUAUAGGAAGGAACACCAGUGGCGAAGGCGACCACCUGAGCUCAUACUGACACUGAGGUGCGAAAGCGUGGGGAGCAAACAGG